UACGUAGGGUGCGAGCGUUGUCCGGAAUUACUGGGCGUAAAGAGCUCGUAGGUGGUUUGUCGCGUUGUUCGUGAAAUCUCACGGCUUAACUGUGAGCGUGCGGGCGAUACGGGCAGACUAGAGUACUGCAGGGGAGACUGGAAUUCCUGGUGUAGCGGUGGAAUGCGCAGAUAUCAGGAGGAACACCGGUGGCGAAGGCGGGUCUCUGGGCAGUAACUGACGCUGAGGAGCGAAAGCGUGGGGAGCGAACAGGAUUAGAUACCCUGGUAGUCCACGCCGUAAACGGUGGGUACUAGGUGUGGGUUUCCUUCCUUGGGAUCCGUGCCGUAGCUAACGCAUUAAGUACCCCGCCUGGGGAGUACGGCCGCAAGGCUAAACUCAAAGGAAU
rnacentral:rRNA from 1 species